AUAAUAUAUAUAAAAGCGAAAGGUCACUCACUCAUCACGAAAUCUCCGAAACUAUAUCACCUACAAACUUGAAAUUUGGCAGGUAGGCUCCUUAUAGGACGUAGACAUCCGCUAAGAACGGAUUUUACGAAACUCGACCCCUAAGGGGGUAAAACGGGGGUUGCAAGUUUGUAUGAAAGUCCUAUAUUUUUGAAGUAAGAGACUUGAAAUUUAAAAUCGAUACUCUAUAGAUGAUGAGAAGGUGUCCAAAAAAUGUAUCUUUAGAAAUCAACUACCUUUUGGGGUUAAAACGGGGGAUGGUAGGUUGACUCAUUCAUCACGAAAUCUCCGAAACUAUGACACCUAUAAACUUGAAAUUUGGCAGGAAGGGUCUUUAUAGGGCGUAGACAUCCGAUAAGAACGGAUUUUACGAAAUUCGACCCCUAAGGGGGUAAAACGGUGGUUGGAAGUUUGUGUGAAAGUCCCAUGUUUUUGAAGUAAGAGACUUGAAAUUUAAAAUGUAUGCCUUAUAGAUGAUGAGAAGGUGUCCAAAUAAUGUUUCUUUAGAAAUCAACUCCCUUUUAGGGUUAAAACGGGGGAUGGUAGGUUGACUCACUCAUCACGAAAUCUCCGAAACUAUAACAGAUACAAACUUGACAUUUGGCAGGUAGGUUCCUUAUAGGUCGUAGACAUCCGCUAAGAACGGAUUUCACGAAACUCUACCCUA
rnacentral:misc_RNA from 1 species